rnacentral:rRNA from 1 species
AGCGUAGACGGUGUGGCAAGUCUGAUGUGAAAGGCAUGGGCUCAACCUGUGGACUGCAUUGGAAACUGUCAUACUUGAGUGCCGGAGGGGUAAGCGGAAUUCCUAGUGUAGCGGUGAAAUGCGUAGAUAUUAGGAGGAACACCAGUGGCGAAGGCGGCUUACUGGACAGUAACUGACGUUGAGGCUCGAAAGCGUGGGAGCAAACA